UUGGUUUAGCUCGCGGACUUUGUGCAUUCAAUGUUCUGCAUUACGAAGAGUGAUUUUACUAUAAUUUGUCAAUUAAUUUAAAAUCCCAAGUAUCAACUGAUUCUUAAAUGUAAAUCUGCAGGUUUGAAUUUUCCAUCGCCUAAUCGUUGUGGCAUUAAAUACUGAUUAAAACAAAUAUGUAAAAUAUAUCAACAUCAUCAUUAAGACUAAUUUGAAAAACAUCGUAUUAGUUGGAAGAAUUUUUUUUUUCACGAAUGCAAAGUGAUUUAAAACAUAGUAAAGCUGACGUGAUACUUCCUAUUUCAACGGUAAAAUUAUGGGGCUUGCCAAUUUUGUUCUGGAGUUCGCUGCUGCGGUGAUUGCAAUCACUUUAGCUGCGUGCGUCUACUUAAAGUAUGUGACCUUCAACUACUGGAGUUGGAAAGACGUUGAUUACGUCAAACCGGUUGUGCCUAUUGGCAACAUGGGACCGGUCUUUGCCGGAAAACGCUCAUUUGGUGAAGUGAUCCGCGACUCUUACUUGGACUUGAAGAAUAGCCGAAUUUUUGGCAUCUUCAUGUUCCAUCAGCCGGUUCUUGUUGUUGCGGAUCCGGACUUGAUCCGCGUGGUCCUCACAAAAGAAUUCGCGCAUUUCCACGACCGUGGUAUAUACUGCAAUGAAGAGUCCGAUCCGUUAUCGGGUCACCUCUUCUCGAUUGCCGGCAGCAAGUGGAGAUUCUUGAGAAACAAGUUGUCCCCCGUUUUUACCGCGAGCAAAAUGAAACAGAUGUUCUUCACCAUCAAGGAAAUCUCCGAAACCCUGACUCAGCGCGUUGCAAAAGACGCCGAGAACUCAGAGCUCAUCGAGGUCAAAGAACUCAUGGCAAGGUUCUCCACCGAUGUGAUCGCCUCGGUCGCUUUCGACAUAAAAUGCAACAGCCUUGAGAAUAAAGAGGCAGAAUUCCGGACGAUGGGUCGCAAGGUCUUCGAGCGACGAAUACUAGUUAACGUGCUCGCGAUCAUCUGUCCAUACGUUUUGCACCUGUUGAAAAUUUCAGUCUUUGGGAAGGAGGCCCCGAAAUUCUUCAUCGAUGUUUUCGAACAGGCAGUAAAGUACAGACGAGACAAUAAAGUUGUCAGGAAUGACUUUCUGGACGUUGUUAUCCAGCUCAUGAACAAAGGCUACAUCGCCAAUGACAAUGAUGAGACUUCACCUCCCUUGGCAGCGUCUGAGGCUUCUUACCCUGAAGAAGAUGUCGAGAAUCGGAAAAUCACGAUGCUAGAGGGAGCGGCACAGGCCUUUGUCUUCUGGAUCGGUGGCUUCGACACGUCGUCAUCGACGGUGACCUUCUGCCUCUACGAGUUGGCGUUGCACCAGGUGUUGCAGGACAAAGUGGCGGAAGAGGUGAACAGAGUUUCGAAAGAAUUCGGGGAACUGUCAUACGAGAGCAUCAGGGCGAUGGUCUAUCUUCACAAAGUCGUCUCUGAGACUCUGAGGAAGUAUCCGGUCGUUCCGAUUCUGAACCGACUGUGCAAUGCAGAUUUUGAGUUUCUGGGAACUGGCCUCCGCGUCGAGAAGAAGACCCCAAUUAUCAUUCCGGUUCUCGGACUCCAUUGGGAUCCCGAACUUUAUCCGGAACCGGAGAACUUCGACCCGGAACGCUUCGACGCGGCGAACAUCGCCCGCAGGCAUCAGUACGCCUACUUGCCGUUUGGGGACGGGCCGAGGAGCUGCAUCGGCAUGAGAUUCGGACUGCUCCAAACAAAAGUUGGCCUUGUCAGCUUACUGUCCAAGUACCGCUUCACUCCUGGACCAGGUCUUCAGAUACCUCUGGUGAUGGACAACGCCAGCUUUGUCCAGGUUCCAGUAAACGGAGUAAAGCUCCGUGUCGAAAUGCGAAGUUCAUAAUCAGUCUGAAACUCGGACACCUUCACUCGUGCCUCAGCCGUCGUGAGUUUGGCAAAUAGCAAGACUAUCAUGCUUAUAGGGCAUUCCAUAACAAAUCACUAGGCUUUUCACUUCACCACUUUUGAUUUGACUGAAAUUUUUUUUGAAUUCCAGCCAAAGUCUCUGCGUUAUGAAUAUUUGAACCUUUUGAUACUAAAUUCAACUUUUUCCCUAAUUCUGAAAAAAAUCCCUACAUAUUGCAUUUUUCAUUGCAACAACUUUAAGAACAACCCUAUGAUCAUUUCAUUGUUCUCGUAAUUUCGAGAACUGAUUUAAAUCGCCAGCGUUUCAAAAAUUUCAAAACAAGUCACAAUUUUAUUGUUCAUCUCUUUUAAGUUGGCCCCAUGAAGGAACCAUUUCUUGUACAUUCUAUCUUUCAAAGUUCUCAAAAUUUCUAUAAUCUUUGAAAUCUCAAAGUUUAAAACAUUGUAAAAAUUCCAAAUUGAUUUAGAAAAAUGAGAAAAAGAAUCACACUAUCAUGAGACCAACCUUAAAGUGAUCGAAACGAGGAAAAAAGAUUCUGAACACCCUUUCAAAAUCCUCAACAAUGUUCAAACUGCCCCCAAAAAUAUACCAAAAUUGAUCUCAUCGUUGGACUCAUCUUUGAACUACUAGAAUGAAAAAUUCAAUUUUUUGAGGAUUUGGCAAAAGGACAAAGUUUGAAAACUGAUUGCAGAUUCAUAACUUGUGGCUGUCCAUAUAAAAAAAAAAAAUUAACAAAAACAAAAUAGGAUCGUUCUGGAAGUGCUACGUAUCAGCUUCAAAAUUCGAUUAUUCCGAGUGGAAUGCCCCCUAUACAUGUAUUUACUGCCUGGCUGUGCCGUUACCCUCUUAUAUUAUAAGCUCGUGAAUCACCACCAGCGUCAGGAGAUCGAUGAGAAGAAUGAGAGGGUGACAGGAGGCAUGAAAUAAGGUAUAAAAAGGGGCUGCAGAGGUGCAAAAGCUAAUUCCCGGAUGACAGAUUGACUCCAGAACGUGACACUGUACCUACAAGUACCAACAUCAUGGAAAGGAGCAUUUAUCUUGUCUGAAAGAAGUUAAAACGUGGGUUUUUCUUCCCUUUUCGUACAACAGGUUCUCUCGUGAUCUGAUCUCUGAUCCACGUGAGAACCGGAGAGUGUUUCCAACGUUAGGCUCAACUCGGGACUUCCUUGAUCUGUAUCAACGCGACAUCGAGCACGUAAUCAUUCGGAAAUUCCUCGGUUAUUCCGGUCCCCCUGACACAUAUCCGAGAUGUGUCCGGCGGGUUUCUGCUCCCUCAUCGCUCGACUCUUUCCAUUCGCUCGCGAGAACUCAUAUUGUAAGAACACGUGUGUUAAGACCAGGGCGAAUGCCGUGGAAUGCUCUCAGGAUCCUCAAAUGUCAAUCGUCGGGCACGGAUUGCUCAAUACCGUACACCUGUAUUCGUAUCACCGUAGCUGAAAACUAACCAAUCGUCAACAAGCAAUCUAUGAGCCUUGUCAGAUAAGAGAACAAACUGUAUUAAACAUAAGAUUUAAUGAGUGAAUCAAAUCGUGUGCAUUCAGUUAUUCAAAUGAAAUAUAACGAAAAAUAGUGAGCUAUGUAAAAUCAAGAAAAUAAAGUGAAUCCAGAAGAACUUUAAUUACUUGUAAUAAUAUUAAUUAUUGAAGUGAAAUUGUUUUCUUGGAUAUAACAAUUUUUUCGGCUGUUCCGUCAAAGACCUCCAUAUCCAAGAAAACAAUUUUACUUCAAUACUUCUGAGGUCAAGAAAAUACUAUUCAUCUUUUCUGUGUUAUUUUUAGCGCUUAGCUGGCUAUAUAAGUAAUUGACGAGAAAUAUUAAUAUUUGGCACGAUUGCAUAGGUUGCUUUAACUCUGGCCCCGAAUUUUUUUACAUUUACUUUGAAAGCUAUUGCGACGGUUCAAAUAUUCCCGCAUAGAGUCGAAAUACUGACUAUGAAAAGAAUCCGACUCAUAGGGUCAGUCACGUGGUGUGCUCCUUUACCAAUUAUCUACGCUUGUUUUUUCAGAAAGUCGUUUUCUCGGUGCCUGACUUGAGAGCACGGCAUGUAAAAUGUACUCUUUUAACGUAUUUGAAAGAUUUUCUGAAACUCAUGUGAAGUUCUAACUGAGUGUUCAUCAAAACGUAUCUUGGAAAAAUAAAGAUCUCGACAAAGAUACAGUCACUAGAAUUUCGGUACCGACAACGAUUAAUAAAUCAAGACGAAGAACAUUAUUCGACAUCAUUAUUCUAUAUCAAUAAUAUUGAAUAUAAGUUCGAAUUUUUAAGAUAAUACGUAAAAGUGUGAGUGAAUAGUCGAUCGAGACUAAUUUUGUAGAAUAAACCCAAAUUAAAGUAAUUCAACGCAUCGUUGGUUCAAGUUAGAGAUUAUAACAUUUAUAUGUACAUAUGAGACACGGAUGGAUUAAUAAACAGUUUAAAAGAUAA